CCCUUAGAUGUUCUGGGCAGCACGCGCGCUACAAUGGUCUUCGCAAACGGAUGCAUUCUCGAAGGAGAAUGCCAAUCUUGGAAUCUAUGCCUUGGUCGGGACAGUUGCUUGCAAUUUUUCGACUCGAACCAGGAAUUCCUUGUAUCGUGAUUCAUCACAUCACGAUGAAUACGUCCCUGCCCUUUGUACACACCGCCCGUCGCUCCUACCGAUCGAAGAGUUAGGUGAAUUGUUUUGAUCGAUAAGAUUUGACUAUGGUCAACUCUCGUUGUGAAAUUCUGUGAAUCUGACUGUUUAGAGGAAGGAAAAGUCGUAACA
rnacentral:rRNA from 1 species